CCAUCUUUCAUCCUUUCCAAACUCCAUGUUUUUCUUUAAUUUUGUUUUACCCUCCUUGUUUAGUUCCUUUGCAUUGAUACUCUAUUUUCUUUCCUUUUCGUGUUCGAUAAAUUUGCUUGGAACUGUAGUUCUUGAUCUGUUGACUGUAAUUUGUGGUGGGUAAGUUUUCUUUUCGUUCGUUCUUAUAAGGAUAUGGUUUGCUAAUAUUUCUAGACGAUGGGGUUAUGAAGUUGUGUUUUGGGGUUUGUAAUAAUUUUGGUACAUUUUUAGAGGGAAAUCAAGGGACGACCAGUGCUCCUCCAACGAUUUAUGUGUUUAUGGUGGUUGUUCGUUGACAGUAAGUGUACGUAUGCGUUCUUCAGAAUUGAGAGGCUAAGUUCGCGGUCAAUUCUUGUUUGAAUUUGUAAAUCAAUUACCGAAUUAAUCGUUGGAAUACUGUUUUUAGGUACUGGGAAUCAUGUGGUUGCAUUCAGAUCAAAAUCGAGCAAGGUGUGUAACAAGAAACCCAAAAAAUAGUGAACGGUGAAAGCCAAAAUAGGGCACUGUCGAUGCCACAUGGCUGUGUGUGACACACAGCCUAGGUUAUUUUGGGCUAUGUGGGCCACACGGGCGUGUGUGGGUUGUGUGCCAAGCCAUGUGCGCUACACGAGUUGGGCUAUCUAGGUGUGCGGGCCCAAAAUUUAAAAUUUUUCCCUAGGGCCAUACACGUCAUCCUGAUCGACUGUGGGCCUUCUUUGAGGUCAAUAUGUGAUUAUAUAUGUGACAAAACAUUGUAUUCGGUUAUCUGUUAGUACAAAUGCUGAAAUUUGCAAGUGUGUCUAAGCUGUCAUAUGAUAGUUUAAAUCGAGAGUAAUGUUAAAUACAUGGUUUGUGACUGAAAUGUUAUGCAUGAUUUCUGUUCUAUUUAUAUCUGAUUAUGGAGUGGGACAUAUAUUAUGUAGAGGAAGUAUUCUGUGAGAGGCAAUAUCUCGCCCAUUAUUCUGGUAGCACUGCUGUGAAUAUUCUGAAAAGUGUCAUAUUGACACUAAGUGGUGUGUAGGGCUGGAUAGGUCUUUAAGACGCUACAUGGUGUGUAGGGAUGGUCGGAGAUGGUGUGUAGCGAAUAGGGGUAGGAUUGUAAAUUUGCAUAUGAUUCUCAUUCUGUAUGAGUUAUACAUCGGUAUCUGCUCCGCUAUGUAGUAAAUCUAGAAAUAAAUCUGUAAUUCUAUUUUCUUUUAAGUUACACACUGAGUUAUGAAAACUCACUUUCUGUUUGUUUGUUACGUUCAUGUAACCUUUAGACUUAGGCAGGUCAGUGCGACGGGAGCUCGGUUACAUCCACAUUUCCGUAAACUUAGUUUAUUUUAAACUUGACUUAUUUAAAAUUCCAGUUUGAGAGUUUUGUAAAUUUUGGUUUCUCUGGAC
rnacentral:lncRNA from 1 species